GACGGAAGGAGCAAGCGUUAUUCGGAUUCAUUGGGCGUAAAGAGCGUGUAGGCGGCCGGGCAAGUCAGAGGUGAAAGCCCAGGGCUCAACCCUGGAAGUGCCUUUGAAACUGCUUGGCUUGAGUUCGGGAGAGGGAAGUGGAAUUCCUGGUGUAGAGGUGAAAUUCGUAGAUAUCAGGAGGAACACCGGUGGCGAAGGCGACUUCCUGGACCGAAACUGACGCUGAGACGCGAAAGCGUGGGGAGCAAACAGG
rnacentral:rRNA from 1 species